CCUACGGGAGGCAGCAGUGGGGAAUAUUGCACAAUGGGGGAAACCCUGAUGCAGCGACGCCGCGUGAGUGAAGAAGUCUUUCGGUAUGUAAAGCUCUAUCAGCAGGGAAGAAAAUGACGGUACCUGAUUAAGAAGCCCCGGCUAACUACGUGCCAGCAGCCGCGGUCAUACGUAGGGGGCAAGCGUUAUCCGGAUUUACUGGGUGUAACGGGAGCGUAGACGGUGAUGCAAGUCAGAAGUGAAAGCCCGGGGCUCAACUCCGGGACUGCUUUUGAAACUGUGUGACUGGAGUGCAGGAGAGGGAAGCGGAAUUCCUGGUGUAGCGGUGAAAUGCGGAGAUAUCAGGAGGAACACCAGUGGCGAAGGCGGCUUACUGGACUGUAACUGACGUUGAGGCUCGAAAGCGUGGGGAGCAAACAGGAUUAGAUACCCUUGUAGUC
rnacentral:rRNA from 1 species